rnacentral:rRNA from 1 species
UACGGAGGGGGCUAGCGUUGUUCGGAAUUACUGGGCGUAAAGCGCACGUAGGCGGCUUUGUAAGUUAGAGGUGAAAGCCCAGGGCUUAACCCUGGAAUUGCCUUUAAGACUGCAUCGCUAGAAUCGUGGAGAGGUAAGUGGAAUUCCGAGUGUAGAGGUGAAAUUCGUAGAUAUUCGGAAGAACACCAGUGGCGAAGGCGACUUACUGGACACGUAUUGACGCUGAGGCGCGAAAGCGUGGGGAGCAAACAGG